rnacentral:rRNA from 1 species
GACGAACGCUGGCGGCGUGCUUAACACAUGCAAGUCGAACGGAAAGGCCCUGCUUUUGUGGGGUGCUCGAGUGGCGAACGGGUGAGUAACACGUGAGUAACCUGCCCUUGACUUUGGGAUAACUUCAGGAAACUGGGGCUAAUACCGGAUAGGAGCUCCUGCUGCAUGGUGGGGGUUGGAAAGUUUCGGCGGUUGGGGAUGGACUCGCGGCUUAUCAGCUUGUUGGUGGGGUAGUGGCUUACCAAGGCUUUGACGGGUAGCCGGCCUGAGAGGGUGACCGGACACAUUGGGACUGAGAUACGGCCCAGACUCCUACGGGAGGCAGCAGUGGGGAAUAUUGCACAAUGGGCGGAGGCCUGAUGCAGCAACGCCGCGUGCGGGAUGACGGCCAUCGGGUUGUAAACCGCUUUCGCCUGUGACGAAGCGUGAGUGACGGUAAUGGGUAAAGAAGCACCGGCUAACUACGUG